GUCGUUUUUCUUUUGUGGAUUGAACUAGCUAUGUUUGUCGAAGGAUCUUGAGUCAUACCGUCAUUUGGUUGAAUAUUAUGCCUCCAUUGCUUAGAGGUUAGGAUGGAGGUAGGAACAGUCAUUUAGUUAAAAAAUGGUAUGAUUCAACCUGCUAUAUCCUGAUUUUUCGAAGAAUGGAGGUAGGAGCAGUCAUUUAGUUUUAAGAGGUUAUGAUGGGGGUAGGAGCAGUCAAUGAGCUCUGUAUUUGCUUAAAGAAUAGAAGGGCAAAAUAAACUCUUUUGAAGCUACAUGAAAAUUCCUAGGACUACUUGAGAAGCGACUUAGUAUUUAGCAUAAAGGAUUGGGAGCCCAUUGUCAAGUACUUCAUUGAUUUUCCAUUGGUAUUAGGUGACAAGAAGUGUUGAUAAUGCGCAUGGUCAAGUCAGUCCGCAGGAAGAGAAUAUCGAUGCUUUGAUAAAAGCAAGGUCAACCUUUUCAUAACUCGAGACUUGGGUUGACCUUUCUCUUUUUGUCUUUUUUGUUUUGGAACACGUACUUAUAUGCUGCUUCAUCGUAGUACCCCUUGUUGUUUUCUUAGUAGGCGUAGGAGGUGGCCCUUGGGACACGAUGAGGGAGUUGAUGAUAACAUCCCCGAUCAAGCCUCUGUCAAUUUUAAGGUUCCCACUAGUUUGUCCAUUUGAAUAUUGACAAUACAGCAAGUGUCCAUGUCUGCAUUUUGCUGAAAUUCAGUAGUUUAGGUAAAAAAUUAACUCUUAUACCACAAGUAUUUUGGACCAAGACUUUAACCUCCAGUUACUAAAACCAAUAUGUUUUUUUUUUGUUUCUUUAACAGUUGAUGGAUGGGGAAUGCUUGAAUAAGGGUCCCUCUUCCCCCACCUCGUUACAGUGCAGCUUCUAUCGGCAAUAGCUCAAAACUAUACAACUUAAGCACUUUUCAGCAAAGUACCCCUCCCUACCCUGGAUACAGCAAUUAAGACUGCUCCAUCUUCAAGUUUUGAUCAGGUUAGUAUCUCAAUCAAUAUUCUUGCUACAUCUAUUCCUACUACAUCCUAUAUUGUAAUAUAGUAGAGGACCGACUGCAUCUGAUUUUGGUAGUGCACAAGAUCAUAUUGCAUAAUAGAUGGUGGUUUGUUUGUUUUUUUUACAAAUUGUCAUUUUAGUGGAGUAUCCCACGGUUCUGCUUUGGGUUACGGACUAUGAAGAUCAACGUUAGAUUUUGGUUGUGGAUUCUACGUGCAGCGAGUUGAACUUUUUGUUUGGAUACAUUUUGUUUAAUAUUACAUCGUUAGUAUACUGUUGCUUCGAAUUUUGGUUUU